rnacentral:lncRNA from 1 species
UAUAAAGAGAGAGUAAGUGAAUAGGACGGGUAAGACAUUUUUGAGCCGAAGCUCUACUACUUUCAACUUUCAAAUCUACUGUUCAUCAAUUCUCUCUCUGACUUAAGCAUCGGAGGAUCCCCGUCGGACAAAACUCUGGUCUGUGAAGAUGCUAUUUUGCAGGUGCUCAUCACUAGCGACAGGCGACAGAGAAACGACAGGGAGUUGGCCGCAAUAGAUUGACGC